CUAUUGAACAACAAAUGGGAAAAAGACAUAAAGAACACAUGGAAACCGUAAGGCAAAUUGAUUCCAACAUGAUUCACAUCGAAAGGAGUAAGGUUAACCAGAGUCAACUCCGGUCCCCUAAACAUAGAAUUUGUUGACACACCCCCAUCCCUCAUAUGUUCUAGUCUCCGCAAACUCAAAGAAUUUGAAUAGUAUCUAAAAUCUUUAGAAACAUGAACUUACACAGGCACACACUCCCCCUAAGAAAGUCAGCCAAUCUAAAACUUUCAAACAAAAAUUCAGAAAUCUUCAUUGACAGCAACUACCUACACAUCUAUACACAAAUACAUAGAUCGUGAAUACAUAUGUUAUAGGAUCAUAUCAAAAUUUCAAACAAAAGAGACCUAUCUUCCUAUAAAUCUUUAUAUCUUUGUCUAAGAUCAUGGAAAAAAAGUUCGAAGAGACAAAAAAAUUUACAUUCUACUAUAAGAUCAAUAAAAACCAAUACCCAAACAGAAAGCCACUGCUACAGUAAAGAUGCAAAAAAUAAUAAUAAUAAUAAUAAUAAUAAUAAUAAUAAUAAUAAUAAAUUGAACAAGUCUCUGAGAAAAUCAAUAAAACUAGCAAAAUUACAUUUGAGGGGAGAAAAAAUAUAUUCAUAGAUUAUUAACCCACAUUCAGUAUUCCAAAAUGCACCCCAAAAAAAUAAAUAAAUAAAUAAAUAAAUAAUGAUGAUGAAUUUUAUAUACACCAAAAAUUGACAUUUAAUUAAUAAAUUUCAUGAAGCAUAAAAUUUGAUACCUGUAUUUGAUCUUGUUUGAUCAUCUCUUCUUCGCUGAUUGUAGUUGCAGUUACUUUUUCUCUUUUCCUCUGAUUUCUUACUUGAUUGUUCUGCAGAGCACGGGAAACACCCCAUGCCUUCUCUCUUCUUUCCUUCUCUCUCAAUCUAUAUAUGUAUCUGUAUGGAAAUAUAUUCAUACAAUUAGAUAAACAAUAUAGUUGUCUAACUACAGAGAAGAAAACAGAGAGCCCAUAUAAUAAAAAAUNNNN
rnacentral:lncRNA from 1 species